CGGAGGAAAAGAAACCAACAGGGAUUGCCUUAGUAACGGCGAGUGAAGCGGCAAUAGCUCAAAUUUGAAAGCUGGCGUCUUCGACGUCCGCGUUGUAAUUUGUAGAGGAUGCUUCGGCGAAGACUCCUGCCUAAGUCCCCUGGAACGGGGCGUCAUAGAGGGUGAGAAUCCCGUAUGUGGCGGGCAGUCUAAGCCAUGUGAAGCUCCUUCGACGAGUCGAGUUGUUUGGGAAUGCAGCUCUAAAUGGGAGGUAAAUUUCUUCUAAAGCUAAAUAUUGGCCAGAGACCGAUAGCGCACAAGUAGAGUGAUCGAAAGAUGAAAAGCACUUUGGAAAGAGAGUUAAAAAGUACGUGAAAUUGUUGAAAGGGAAGCGCUUGCAACCAGACUCGCUCGUAGUUGCUCAGCCGGCCUCUUGGCCGGUGUACUCUUCUACGAUCGGGCCAGCAUCAGUUCGGGCGGCAGGAUAAAGGUGUCGGGAAUGUAGCACCCUUCGGGGUGUGUUAUAGCCCGGCGCGGAAUGCUGCCAGCCUGGACUGAGGAUCUCGC
rnacentral:rRNA from 1 species